UUGAACUUGAGUUUGUGUCUGUUUGAACUUGAGUUUUGGUGUUUGUUUGAACUUGAGUUAGUGGUGUUUUUGAACCUGAGUUUUGUCGUGUUUGAACUUGAGUUUGUGGUGUUUGUUGAACUUGAAUUUGUGUGUUUUUUAACUUGAGUUUUUGUGUGUUUUUGAACUUGAGUUUUAUGUGUUGUUUGAACUUGAGUUUUUGGUGGUUUUGAACUUGAGUUUGUGUUUUGUUGAACUUGAGUUUUCUGCAUUUGUUGAACUUGAGUUUGUGUCCUGUUUGAACUUGAGUUUGUGUUGUGUUUGAACUUGAGUUAGUGGUGUUUUUGAACUUGAGUUUGUUUCGUGUUUGAACUUGAGUUUGUGGCGUUUGUUGAACUUGAGUUUGUGUCGUGUUUGAACAUGAGUUUGUGGUGUUUUUGAACUUGAUUUGUGGUGUUUUUGAACUUGAGGUUUGGAAUAUGUUAAAUUGAGAAUUGGGUGUUGGUUGAACUUGAUAUGUGUUUGUCGUGUUUGAACUUGAGUUUGUGUUGUUUGGUGAACUUGAGUUUGUGUGUUUUUUGAACUUGAGGUUGUGUCGUGUUUGAACUUGAGUAUGUGGUGUUUUUGAACUUGAGUCGGUGUUGUUUUUGAACUUGAGGUUGUGGAAAUUUUUAAACUUGAGAAUUGGGUAUUGGUUGAACUUGAGUUUUUGGUGUUUUUGAAUUUGAGUUUGUGUCCUGUUUGAACUUGAGUUUGUGGUGUUUUUGAACUUGAAUUUGCGUGUUUGGUAAACUUGAAUUCGUGUGUUGUUUGAACUUGAAUUUCUGUUGGUUUGAACCUGGGGUUGUGGAAUUGUUAAACUUGAGAAUCAGGUGUUGGUUGAACUUGAGUUUGUGUGUUUGUAGAACUUGAGUUUGUGUUUGUUGAACUUGAGUUUGUGUUGUGUUUGAACUUGAGUUUUUGUUGUUUUUGAGCUUGAGUUUGUGUCGUGUUUUCUUGCGUGUUGCUCAAUGGCUGAAACGCAUCGCUCUUCCGGCAACGCCGUAAGGAGGAGCAACUUGCCAUUUGGAUAUAUCCUAGCUGUGUUUGUGCCCUCACUCAUUGUCCAGAGUUUUUUUUUAAAUAGGACAUGUAGUUUGUCUGCAGCGAGCGUUUUGGUAGAAACUGCGCCUCCCAUUCAUUAUAAUGGGAAAUGACCAAAGACAGGUGCGCACACCAUCUUUGGACCUUGACUGUGACGUCACAGUUUGAGAUACAAAUGUUAUUUGACCUCUGACCUUUUGUGGAGACCCUAACCUUUUCAACCCGUGAAAACGGCGUUUCAAUAGCUCUUACGGCUUUCCUACAAAUACACUUUGUUGGGCUGCUCCUACUGUCUUUCAAGCUCUGCUUCACAGAUCAUCAAAGAGUGUGCACGUUUGUAAUGAGCGCAUAUUGAAUGUUAAUUAUGUUAACUAUGUUAAUUAUUAGAAGAAAUAACAACAACAGUCUUUUUGGACAAAAUUUCUUUUUAUUAAAGAAUUAGAAUAAUGGAAGCAUAGUCCAAUGAAACCAUUCAAGUGAUGUCAAACCUCAUAAUUUAUUAAAAUGUAGGCAAGUCUGGGCAUUUCUUCAUUCAUCAGGUUUCCUGCAUGCAUACUAACAGAGCACAUCAGUAACAGUGAAUGAUAAGUAUGAGUAUGUCAUUGUGUAAGAAAAGAAAGUGGUUAACUUACACAUCCAUAGAAAAUAGGUGGUUGAGCACAGCACGCAAACAAAGCUUUGCCACGACGGUGGAACUUCCCAAGUAGCCGAUACCAAGAUAACACAAUCAGGGUAAGCAAAGGUCAAACCAGGCCAGGCACUCAUGAGGCUGGCUGUGGCAAGUGUAAGUGAAAGCGACACACACUGGCAGGAAGAACAGCAAACGCGGAUGAAGGAAAAGGAUCUUUGCAGUGAUGGCCGUUACCAGAGGACAGAGGACGCGUCAGAGGACGCGUCAGAGGACGCGAAUGGGAUGGGGAGGGGAGGCGAUUGCGUUGGGGGGGCGCGCGACACAGCUCGGGCCCGACAGUGCCCCAACGGGGCCCUAGUAUUAUUAUUAUUAUUAUUAUUAUUAUUAUUAUUAUUAUUAUUAUUAUUAUAUAUUAUUGUUGUUAUAAAUAUUAUAAAUAUUUGUUGUUAUAAAAAGUUUUCUCAACUUUGCCUUGCUUCAUUCUUUAACAUGCAGUCAUGAAGUAACAUAACUAGGUUGCAGUGCUUCAAUGUAUAAACUUAACUUUACCCUUGUGCACCCCUUAAAAUUUAAUGACACUUGUUACCCUCGUGUGGGCUAACAAAUAACAAUAAUAAUAAUAAUAAUGAUAAUGAUCUUGUUAUAUGAUAUAGCAUGUUUUUGCAGGUGCGUAAAAACUGACCGUGUGUGUGUGUGUAUCUUGCAGUACUCUGAGGAGAAUGAGAAGCAGGACACAGACACAGCUAUGGAGACAUUCUUGUACUUUUAUGUAGGACUUUUGCUCAAUAGUUGUUUGUGGCGGCUCUGAAAAGAGCCAUUGUGGGGGUGCAGCACACUAGAUGGAAUCCUGCCAUGGGACCGCUCCUUCAGCUGAGAAGUGCUCGGUAAAGGUCUGCCUGACUGCGAUGGCCUCCCGGGACAAGUUGUUUGACGCGAGACGUCCCAGCCCUGCCUGAGGUUCCUCACCACCCGUGAUGGCACCCAACCUCAUGGCAGCUUCAGGCUGAGACCUACGCAGGAAGUUAUGAAGGACACAGGUGGCCUUCACACACUUCUCUGCAACGUCCGGAGAAACCCCAAGGGCACGUCGGUACAUCCUCCACUGAGUGGAAAGAAUGCCAUAGGCAUUUUCAACCACCAGCCGCGCCCUGGACAGCCGGUAGUUGAAAAUGCGCUUCUCUCUGGGGAGGAUGCACCCUGGAUACGGCCUCAUGAGGUUCCUCCGGAGAGGGAAGGCCUCAUCUGCGACAAACACAUAAGGUUGGGGUCCCCUGUGCUCAGCUUCAGGCAGUGAUCGAUCCGGAGGCAGUUGGAGGGAGCAAGAACAGAGUGCCUGACCAAACGCAGAGUUGGCCAGAAUCCACCCGUCACUGGUCCUCCCGAAGCCUCCGACAUCGAUCACUCGGAAGCAAUAAUUGGCAUCUACAACUGCCAAGAGAACAAUAGAAAAUGUUCCCUUAUAGUUAUAAAACUGUGAUCCUGAAUUGGCAGGAGCCUUCAGAAACACGUGCUUCCCAUCCACAGCACCACAACACAAGGGGAAGUUCCACCGCUCCUAAAACCCUGUGCUAUGGAUAUCCACUCAUCACAGGUGGGCACAGCCAUGAAGUCCUCCACCAAGCACUCCCAGAUGCAGGACACAGUGUCUGCCACGAUGCCUGACACGGUGGAAACUCCAACUCGAAAACUGUAGGCAAUGGUCCUGAAGGAGUCUCCAGUAGCCAGGAACCUAAAGCACAUAAAAAUAAAUUUCAUUGCUAUUUUUAUUCAAAAUAUGAGGCCAUAUGAAAUACAAACAUAACCGAAGACUUGAGUGUCCAUAAAUCCUCUUUGACACGGACAUUUAUGCUAGCACCCGGUGUAUAGUGUCUAGUAUCUGAAGUAGUAUCUGAAGUAGCAUGCUACUCGCUCUGGUGGCCAAUUCGGACAUGCUACAUACUACUUCGACUACUACUUGGCAAUUUGGACGCAGCACCGGUGUGAAUGAACCAGGGCGCGACGCAACGCUACGUGAGCGACCUACACGACUAGGUCACUUCAAGUCGCAUUUGGUCUGAACCAUAGGCUGUAUAUAGAAUGGACAGAGUCUGCCUCCUCGCUGGGUGAAGCCACUCCGAGAACAGCACCCUCUGUUGGUGGGCUGCAGUACAGGUCAUAAAUCCCAUGGACAAGGCAAUGGCAUUGGACAAACUUCAGAAAUUUGUUACACAGAGCAUACAUUUUUCUCCCCCCUUGUUGUGAUGUUGACAUGUAGUUACAGUAAGACUAGUUUGUGCUCAAAUCCUCUUUUUUCUGUGAAGCUCCAUUUUUAAAAGUUAUUAGGGGGUUCAUGUUUUCUAUGACUGACACCUGAUACAGCCUAUUGGCGUUCAGGGAUUGCGUAGCUCUCCCAGGAGGGAUACGCUGUUUGAGCCAAGCAUCAUCACAGUGACUCUCGGCGACUGCGCGGCCGAAUGCGCGCAUCGCUACUGCGCAGCGCUGGUUUCAGGAAAUUAAGAAAAAUCCCGGGAAUAUUGAGAGCUUUUUGGGUUCAAAUCCGUAUACAGGUGGUAGGUGGAACCAAGUUGUCCAUAGUAUAUACAGUCUAUGGUCUGAACGCGGCUUUAGACAAUCAGUCAUUUUGUGUGUGACAGAAGUGACAGGAAAUCAACAAUGUGUCUACAGCCCUCUGGGAAAACAGGAGGAUGUGAGAGAAGGAGAGGGCAAGCUCAGAGGAAGAGGAGAUGGACAAAGAGCGUGAGAAAGAGUGAUGUCAUUGGUUCUGCUGGGAACGAAGUAGAGGAAUCAAGAAAACAGAGAAGAUCGGAGGGAAAAAUCUCCAUGGACAAGGUUAAUGGGCUGCUUCAGUUUUUAGUUUUUCAAUUUUGAAUGAAAAAAAGUUAUCAGCUGGUCUCUGCUAAAAUCCUGAUAAAUACCAACUCUCAUGUGCCGAGCAGCUCUGCUGACUGGUCACUGAUUGGUCUAAUCUUAUGACAUCAUGAGAGAGGCAUGUGGGUCAGUGAAUAUUCACACUCAUUAGCAGGACGCUCCAGUUUAUGGUUUAUCUGGAAGUUUCUAUUGUCACUCUGAGAGACCAUGAAUGUGUGUGUUCAUGUGAGUGUGAAUGAUUUCCCUGCUCGCUCUGUGUGUUUGUAUUAAAAUGAGAUCAUCCACACAGUGAAGUGAGGUGACAGAGGUGGCUAAAUAUACAUCAGUCAUCACAGACAAGAGAUAACAGCGUACAGAGACCCUGAAUGCAGGGGGAGACUGCAGGCUGCAUAUUGUGCAGGGAAGUGUGAGACCUCUCUGGCCCCUGAGCACAUAGUUUUGAAAGUGCACGCUGCAGAUUUUCUGUGCAACACCUUAUGGACCCAUGCCUUUUAGCCUCCUCUUCUUCUCUUAUGGAAACGGGAGAGCAGAGGGAGGCAGAGCAUACUAACUUGGCUCUGCAGUGUCUCUUUUUUUUGCUAGUUGCAUGUGAUGAAUGCGAGAAACUAGCAUGAGGUGGGAUGGUUGUGGGAUGCCAGAUGCUCUACAUUUUGCACAUUCAGCAUCGACUCAGAAGUUUGACAGCUAACUACGACUGUGGGAAAGAGCAGGCAAAAGAGAAAACCUGGUUUAGUGUUACAACAUGCAAAUUCUACAGAGAAAAGCCAUCACUGGAUUCAAACCCCUUGCUCUAAAGCUGCACCACUGUAGAGCCCUUGACUUCAACCAACUUGUAUUUACACAGGAAGCUGAGGCAGCCACACCACACCUUUAACUUUGCAUAUUUUUCCAUAACAUAUUAACUAAGAAUAAUAUUUUGCUCUGUUUUAUCUCAGAAAUCUAACAUUUAGACAUGCCUCUGUCAGUUACUUCGCCUGGUGCCCCCCCUAAAAUCUGAAUUUUUACUCAGAAAGCUGUAACAACUUAAGGUAACCCAAGCUCAAA